rnacentral:rRNA from 1 species
UACGGAGGAUGCAAGCGUUAUCCGGAUUUAUUGGGUUUAAAGGGUGCGCAGGCGGAACGGUAAGUCAGUGGUGAAAGCCUACAGCUCAACUGUAGAAUUGCCAUUGAUACUGUCGUUCUUGAGUAUAGUUGGAGUGGGCGGAAUGUAUCAUGUAGCGGUGAAAUGCAUAGAUAUGAUACAGAACACCAAUCGCGAAGGCAGCUCACUAAGCUAUAACUGACGCUCAUGCACGAAAGCGUGGGGAUCAAACAGG